AUGAGUAUUAUCGUACUUAAUUAGAUUAAUUAGGAAUUAACUUGUUCAAAUUAAUCUAGUUUACUCAUGUUACUGAUUUAAGCUGAAAUAGGGAUAAAGUCAGCCGCGAAAUCUCGUAUCUUUGAAAGCCAAGUUAGACUUUGAAUCAAAGAUUAAGAGAAACGAGCUGAUUGAGGUUCGUUUAACCCUUACUCAUGAUUGGGUGUGCUUCUGUUUUUGGAUUAAUAAUAACCCCCCAGAGGGGGGUGCAAAAAUUCGCUAAAGGCUCAUAUUGUGUGUCACCCUCCACGGUAAUCUUUAGUAAAAGGCGAAAGAUUAAUACGUUAACUGAAGGGAGACCAGAGCUUAGUUAGACCAAGUUUUGACUCGCUUUAUACACAGCUUCAGAGAUACAAGGAGAACAGUAUGUACAAUUAGAUUAUUUUAUUAGCUGAACCCAUUAAAAAAUUAAUUUUUAUUGUUUUAAAUCAUAAUCAGUAUAGUUUAUUACUAAUUAUUUUUCGUUUGGAUUUAACAAGAUUCAUGUAUUAAAAUCAAUUUAACAAUUUAAAUCUGUGAUUGAACAAAAAACAUAAAGCUCUCGGAGUAGUGAUGCUGUCAAGACAACGAAGUGCGGCAUAAUUUGAACUAUUAUUUUCAAGAAUGUGCAUUUUGAAAAUUAAAAAAGGUUUAUUUGUUUUUCAAUAAGUGAUUUCAUUGUUGAUUAAUUAUGAUCAUUCGUAAGAUCAGUUGCUAUAUGUGAUGAAAUAGCAUUGAGUUAUGUCCUGACUAAAAAGUAUAUUCUCGUUUAUUCUAUUAUUAUUCCAAUAAAUCCAUUGACUGUCCACCAUGGCUUCAUCUUCUGAAUCUGAAAAUAGAGGACGUUUAAUCAAUCGCUGAAAUAAUUUGAUUCUAGACAGAUUUGAAAAUGAUUCACAAGCUAAAAUAUCGAAACAUCCAUUGAUGGCCUCUGAAGCCUCGAGCAUGAGAAGAGUAGAGAUUGAUGAUGGAAUGGAAAGCUGCUUCCAACGUUGGACAUUUACCAUUUCUUACUACCUCAAAUGCUAUGCUUGAAACUUUAAACGGUCAAGAUUUAAAAUUUGAACACGAAGACAUGUCAAUGGUAUAACAAUCUAACAGUAAUAUAAUACUAAUAUGGACAUUAAAAAAUAAAACACUAAAAAAUUAUCUUACACGA